rnacentral:lncRNA from 1 species
ACUGCGAAAAAAGUUCUAGGGGAAAGACCUGUAUAGUCAAAGAUUACCCCGUCGAAAAACCCCACCUGAGGUGCGUGAACAGUACAGACAGAAAAUCCUCUGUGCGGAUUGCCGGAUUGCCGGAUUUCGACGGCGGAUUGUCACAUAAUUUGCGUCACUUGAUCUCCUUCUCUUUGGGAUCAUUUGCCAAUUGAAAUUUUCCUCUAAUUCACAAACAAUUUGCACAAAUCUUAAAUCUAAGAUUUGCGAUAUACUGUAGCAUCAGUUUUGGCUUUAAACUUUCGAUCGCUACCAUGUUUGUGAUCGACUGCGGCUGAUGUAUAAAGCAUUGAUGGAAGAUGCAUACUCUCCCCAGCAUUGUGAUGGGGGAAAGGAUUCCCAAAAGAAAAAUGCAAAUCAAACCUGUAGGCGACAAACCAAGUUUUGCAUCUUUAUUAAAUGGAAACCAUUCUGCCGAGCCAGUUCCGAAACUGGAACUCUGUCC